GUCUUAUCAGGACUCAUCAGUUCAACUUCUCAAAAUGAGGUUCCCUGCUCAGCUCCUGGGGCUACUAAUGCUCUGGAUCCCAGGAUCCAGUGGAGAUAUUGUGAUGACCCAGACUCCCCUCUGCUUGGCCGUCACCUUGGGAGAGCCAGUUUCCAUCUCCUGCAGGUCUAGUCAGAGCCUCCUCCGUAGUGAUGACUACACCUAUUUGGAUUGGUACCUGCAGAAACCAGGCCAGUCUCCACGGCUGCUGAUCUAUGAGGUUUCCAAGCUGGUCUCUGGAGUCUCAGACAGGUUCAGUGGCAGUGGGUCAGGGACAGAUUUCACCCUUCAAAUCAGCAGAGUGGAGGCUGAGGAUGUUGGAGUUUAUUACUGCAUGCAAGGUUCACAAAGACCUCCCACAGUGGUACAGGCCUGAACAUAAACCUCCUUGCAUGGUGUAGCCCAGCUGCUCAGAUGUGUUGUUUGUCUGGGGAGUAGGCAAGGCAGAGUCUGUAUAAGAGGAGAUGUCGGAGAAUUCAGGGGAAUUGGUCACUGUGGAAGGACCUGUCCCCUAAGUGCCUUGACUACACCUCAGGUGCCACUCAUUUAUGGCCCUGUCAGCCACAACAAGCCUUGGCAUGACAUAAGCAGCAGGAAGAAUGGAGAAUGGACCAUGAGCUCUGAGUCACUAUUCAUGAUGAACAGGAGAGCUUAAAAGUUCAUGCUAACCCUCCUUGCCCUGUGUACAGUUAUAAAUUAAACUUAGCAUAGCCGGAGAAUUGAGCCAGAUUAGUGGCAGUGCAAACAGAAUACAUGUUGAGAUUUAGCAGUUUCGAUGUAGAUUUACGAGCAUAUUUAGUAAUAUUCAGAAAUUGGUACCUUCCCACUUUCUCAACUUACUUCUCCUUUUUAUUACUUAUCUCUCCACUCAAUAAAGAUAGUCUGGAUAGCACUGUCCACAAAAUAUCCUCAGGGAGAGUAUAGCUGGAAACAAUUAGUAAAAAUCUUGGUAUUUAAGCUCCCAAUGAAAUUUUUGUGAUUCAUAGCAGAUGAAAAAUCCUCAUACUGAAAGUCUUGAUUCACCUCAAUUACCUAUCUCUGAAAGAAAACGUAAGCUCCUGAAAUUCCAAAAGUUGGGUUUCAAAAACAAAAAGCAUAAACUGUGGAUCGUAGAAUUUAUUCCGUAUAGACCUGGAAGAAUACAGGUGGCACUAGAUUUUAUGUAUACAUAAGCAAAUUUACAUUCCGGCAAUAACUUUCACUUGACGUUGCUGUAUAAUCCUCUUAUUGUUGUGGAAUUCAGUUUGCUAGUAUUUUCCUGAGGAUUUUAGGAUCUAAAUUGAUGAGGGAUAUUGGUCUGUAGUUUUCUUUCCUUGCAGUAUCUGUGUCUGGCUUUGGUAUCAG